UACGAAGGGGGCUAGCGUUGCUCGGAAUCACUGGGCGUAAAGCGCACGUAGGCGGUUUCUUAAGUCAGGGGUGAAAUCCUGGAGCUCAACUCCAGAACUGCCUUUGAUACUGGCAACCUUGAGUCCGGGAGAGGUGAGUGGAACUGCGAGUGUAGAGGUGAAAUUCGUAGAUAUUCGCAAGAACACCAGUGGCGAAGGCGGCUCACUGGCCCGGUACUGACGCUGAGGUGCGAAAGCGUGGGGAGCAAACAGG
rnacentral:rRNA from 1 species